CUCCUCAAAGGUCCGUCUUGGAAAGGGAUUCACGCUCGAGGAGUUGAAGGCUGCUGGUUUGACUGCCCGAUACGCACAGACUGUUGGUAUCGCCGUGGACCACCGUCGUACCAAC
rnacentral:ribozyme from 1 species